rnacentral:rRNA from 1 species
AGUGAACGCUGGCGGUAGGCCUAACACAUGCAAGUCGAACGGCAGCACAGUAAGAGCUUGCUCUUACGGGUGGCGAGUGGCGGACGGGUGAGGAAUACAUCGGAAUCUACUUUUUCGUGGGGGAUAACGUAGGGAAACUUACGCUAAUACCGCAUACGACCUACGGGUGAAAGCAGGGGAUCUUCGGACCUUGCGCGAUUGAAUGAGCCGAUGUCGGAUUAGCUAGUUGGCGGGGUAAAGGCCCACCAAGGCGACGAUCCGUAGCUGGUCUGAGAGGAUGAUCAGCCACGCUGGAACUGAGACACGGUUCAGACUCCUACGGGAGGCAGCAGUGGGGAAUAUUGGACAAUGGGCGCAAGCCUGAUCCAGCCAUACCGCGUGGGUGAAGAAGGCCUUCGGGUUGUAAAGCCCUUUUGUUGGGAAAGAAAAGCAGCAGGUUAAUACCCCGCUGUUCUGACGGUACCCAAAGAAUAAGCACCGGCUAACUUCGUG